UACGGAUGGUGCAAACGUUGUUCGGAAUCACUGGGCUUAAAGGGCGCGUAGGCGGUUGGUUAAGUCUGGCGUGAAAGCCCUCGGCUCAACCGAGGAAUUGCACUGGAUACUGGCCAACUGGAGGAAGGUAGGGGAGCGUGGAACUACCAGUGGAGCGGUGAAAUGCGUAGAUAUUGGUAGGAACGCCGGUGGCGAAAGCGGCGCUCUGGGCCUCUCCUGACGCUGAGGCGCGAAAGCUAGGGGAGCAAACAGGAUUAGAUACCCCCGUA
rnacentral:rRNA from 1 species